rnacentral:rRNA from 1 species
GUACGAUAGGUAGGGGUGUGGAAGCACAGUAAUGUGUGUAGCUAACCGAUACUAAUAGCUCGAUUGAUUUACUUUG